UACAGAGGGUGCAAGCGUUAAUCGGAGUUACUGGGCGUAAAGGGCGCGUAGGCGGAUAGUUAAGUUGGAUGUGAAAGCCCUGGGCUUAACCUAGGAAUUGCAUACAAAACUGGUUAUCUGGAGUACUGUAGAGGGUAGUGGAAUUUCCGGUGUAGCGGUGAAAUGCGUAGAGAUCGGAAGGAACACCAGUGGCGAAGGCGGCUACCUGGACAGAUACUGACGCUGAGGCGCGAGAGCGUGGGGGAGCAAACAGG
rnacentral:rRNA from 1 species